rnacentral:rRNA from 1 species
UGCUUGAGUAGUAAUCAGUUAUGAUCUUGAAACUUAAAGGAUUUGGCGGUAUUCAAGUCUAGUUAGAGGAACCUGCCCUAUAAACGAUAUGCCACGUAAUAUCUUACUUUUAUUUGUUAAUUCAGUUUGUAUACCGCCAUUAAUAAGUAAUGUUAAUAAACAUGUUCUAAAAUAAUAUUAUUUAAUAUAUUAGGUCAAGGUGCAGCUAAUAUAAAAGAAGAGGUGGGUUACAAUACAUUAUAUGUGCGGAUAAGUAACUUAUAAUUAUUUUAAAGGUGGAUUUAAUAGUAAAAUCAUUUUAAUAAGAUGGUUUGAUAAAAGCUCUAGAAUAUGCACACAUCGCCCGCUCUUA